rnacentral:rRNA from 1 species
UACGAAGGGGGCUAGCGUUGCUCGGAAUCACUGGGCGUAAAGCGCACGUAGGCGGCUUUGUAAGUUAGAGGUGAAAGCCCGGGGCUCAACCCCGGAAUUGCCUUUAAGACUGCAUCGCUAGAAUUGUGGAGAGGUGAGUGGAAUUCCGAGUGUAGAGGUGAAAUUCGUAGAUAUUCGGAAGAACACCAGUGGCGAAGGCGACUCACUGGACACAUAUUGACGCUGAGGUGCGAAAGCGUGGGGAGCAAACAGG